UACGAAGGGGGCUAGCGUUGCUCGGAAUCACUGGGCGUAAAGCGCACGUAGGCGGACUCUUAAGUCAGGGGUGAAAUCCUGGAGCUCAACUCCAGAACUGCCUUUGAUACUGGGAGUCUUGAGUUCGGGAGAGGUGAGUGGAACUGCGAGUGUAGAGGUGAAAUUCGUAGAUAUUCGCACGAACACCAGUGGCGAAGGCGGCUCACUGGCCCGAUACUGACGCUGAGGUGCGAAAGCGUGGGGAGCAAACAGG
rnacentral:rRNA from 1 species